CUACCCUUCCAUCCCUUGGAUAGUAUAGAGAGGGAGGGCAGAGCUUUUGGUUUUUUCAUGUUGUCAAAGAGUUGAACAAUGGUUUUUCGUGUUGUCAAAGAUUUGAACAAUGAAAAUAGAUGGCGAGUGCCUGAUCGAAUUGAUCAGGUCAUGUAGGAACAAGGUUCAAGUCUACCGGUCUGUUAGGAUGCCUCAGCUGCAUACAUCACUGCACUUCCACUUGACACCUAUCGUAAUGAUAAACGGCUCGUCUCGCCGUGACCUUC
rnacentral:rRNA from 1 species